GGGUUAGUGGCGAACGGGUGAGGAAUAGAUGGAUGACGUACCCUGGACACGGGGAUAGCGGCGGAACUUCGGUUCCUUUGCGAAAGUGCCGGUAAUACCCGAUGACCCCGCGGAUCCGCAUGAAUCUGCGGGCAAAUGCUCCGACGGUCUGGGAUCGGUCCAUCUCCUAUCAGCUAGUUGGUGAGGUAACGGCCCACCAAGGCAUCGACGGGUAGCGGGCGUGAGAGCGUGGCCCGCCACAUCGGGACUGAGACACUGCCCGGACACCUACGGGUGGCUGCAGCAACGAAUAUUCCGCAAUGGACGCAAGUCUGACGGAGCGACGCCGCGUGCAGGAAGAAGUCCUUCGGGAUGUAAACUGCUGUCAGGGGUUAGGAACACCGACCAGCCCCAGAGGAAGCACCGGCUAACUCCGUGCCAGCAGCCGCGGUAAUACGGAGGGUGCAAGCGUUGUUCGGAAUCACUGGGCUUAAAGGGCGUGUAGGCGGGACGGAGGGUGUCGGGUGAAAGCCCACGGCUCAACCGUGGAACUGCCCGGCAAACCGCCGUUCUUGAGGCAGGUAGAGGUGACUGGAACGACUGGUGGAGCGGUGAAAUGC
rnacentral:rRNA from 1 species